rnacentral:lncRNA from 1 species
AUUAUAUUUCCUUUAGAAACAUGUUUUAUUCACAUGUUAAUGUAUUAUUAAUUCUUGGAGAAAGGCUUUCAAUUAUUCACUUUUUGUUUUUAUUUGUUGUGAUGAUUUUUUACAGAACUUAGUGGAAUAGAGAAAUGUUUCUGCAAAGCAUGUCUGGUCUAUAGAAAAAUAACAAUUAGUAUUGAUUUUUAUUGGGACGAACACCUGUAGUUUAAGGAAAACAUGAUAUAAUUCCUGUAGGUUAUAAUUCUAUUUGGUUAGCUUAGCUCUUUCUUCAGUUUUCUAUUCCUAGUGCCAAUCCCCUGCAGCCAUUGUCCCCCCAGAAUAAUACAGAAUAGGAAACAUACUGUUCUACCUGAUCCAUACCUAUCUCCUUCAAGCUCUUCAAACAUUUUAACCAGGUAGUACAUUGCUGCUUCCUUCCCCCACAAAAAGGCCCAUAGCCAGAUGCAUUGGUGCAUACCUGUAGCCCCAACCACUCCAGAGGGUGGCAGGAGGAUUACUUGAGGCCAGAAGUAGUGCACUAUGACCACAUGUGUGAAUAGCAACUGUACUCCACCCUGUGCAACAUAGCAGGAACUUGUCAAAAAAAAAAAAAAAAAAAAAAAAGCCAACGCUUGACCUUUCUAGCCCCUUCUCCACUACUUUCUAUCUGUCCUCAUCUAGACAGUUCAAUUCAAUUCUCUGUUAACUAAAUACCAUUUUCUUUUCCUGCCACCUUGUCUUUGGUUGUGAUUUUGUUGGUGUUUCUUCCUGGAAGGUUCUCACACAUUCUUCAUCUAGCUUCCUCUCUUGCUAAACAAUACUAAUACCUAUAUUUCAACACCUAGGCAAAUACUACCUAUUCCCAAAUACCUUUGCCUCCAUAGCCAGAAGUAAUCAUCUCUAAACUACUAUUGCCGUGAGUUUAUAUCACCUUCUCACACAUCCAUGAAAAAUAUAAUUGCUAAAUGCCUAUUAUGUACUAGGAAACAUUUAGGUACUAGGGACCACUGAUGAACAAGGUCAGAUUGCAACCUCAUGGAAACAUAAAGUCUCUGCUAGUAGUAUUCAUAGACUAAUUUUAUUAGAGUUAUAUGUGUUUUUCUCCCCUCCAAGUGCAUUAACUUUCUGAAAGUGGGAAUAGUGUCCUUUUCAUCUUUGUAUCCUUACCGUGCUUAGGACAGCAUCUGGAAAGUAGUAGAUGGAUGAAUGAUAAAUUGAUCUCACUGUGUGGAGAAAACAUGCUCCAUUUUAUUUGAGUAACUUUGGAAGCACGGGUGCCCCCUGAUUUACUGGCUUAUACUUUCCCAGCUAUAUGGUUACUUCUCUAUCUUUAGCCUGAACUCAGCCUCUAUUAUUAGCAGUUAUUGUAAAAUAACUUGGAGAUUUUAAAGAGUGCAAGUGGGACUUCAGAAUGUUAAGGGGAAGCUUGCAAUUCACUAGUUAAGAGGAGCAGCCAAAAUAAGUUAUCUGAAAUACAAAUGUGAACACUCCAUUUCCAUAUUGACAACUAUUUAUAGAAAAUAUUUUUUAGGAUAAAACCUAAGCCAAUUAACAUACCUUACCAGGACCUGCAUAAAAUAGACUCUGUAAGGUUGUUCAAUUUCAUUUCCCCCAUUCCAUUUGCCUGGCUAACUCCUGCUUGGCUUUAGUAGUUCUCUUUCCUGCCACAAAACACACUGAAGUUUUAUUUUUUGGGAACCACCUUUCCCCUAUUCUCAGCCUUGUGGUCUGUGAAAUUACACUUGACUGGCUGAAGUUAACUCCUGGUACCUAGUCUCCUGUAUUCAUUAACAGACACUCCUUAUUUCCUUCUACAUUCCCCAGCUAUAGGCAAUAUUAAUGUGUUUUCUAUCUCCAUAAAUUGUCUAUUCUAUACAUUUUAUAUUAAUGGAAUCACACAACAGCGAUUUUUGUGAUAACAUUCUUUCACUUGGUAUAAUGUUUUUAAGGUUGAUCCAUGUCAUAGUGUGUGUCAG